UGGAGAAGAAAGAAACGUAGCCAACGCAACACUAAAAUUCGAUAACCUGAAACAACUUUGGCACCUUUGUGCUGAUUAAGUCAGCUGGGUACGACUAUGACUCACGGAUCGAACCCUGAAUCAACCUCUGGGCUGAUCUAAGUCACUAUGGGGCAUGGCGAACUCACAGAUCGAGUCCUGAAACAACCGUUUGGGCAGUGACGUAAGUAAGGGCAUGGCUAAUAGACUCACAGAUCGAAUUGCAUUCAUAUCUUGUUACGUCUUGCAAAUGGAUGAUAAAAGGACUGGGCCCGGUUGUAAGUGGUUGUACGAAGGGUGGAUAGCUCUAUCCAACGGAUAAAUCCUAAUAAUCCGUUAAAUAUCUUUAUCCACUGGAUAAGAUUUAUCUGUCGGAUAGCGCCGGGCCCUGGUCUUUUUAUAUCAUGCACGGCUUUGCGGAGGAAGCAAAACCGGACAAUCCGGUGGUGAAAACCAUGCCAAUUUUCGAAAUAUAUAACAUUGAAAACGAGGCGAAUAAAUUAUCAUGAAUUAUCAUGACAACGAGGCAGCUGAAAAUAUUCCAGGACAGAACUGUUGACAUUACAUUCAGCUCAUUGUUUCUUUACGUUUUGCUGGAAAAAUACAAUAUUUAUGCAGAACCGACGUCAAAGACAACUAUAAAUGAAAGUACUUCUUAAAGACAGGGGGUGAAUAAAUAGUUGUAUAUAUAUGUCAAGAAACAACAGAAGAAGAGAUCAUAUGAUACUAAGAGGUUAAUAAGAAACAACGCCAGUUGCCAUGGAAAUGAUAAUGACAAUGAUGAAUGAUGAUGAUUAUGAGCUAUUCUGCAUGAAGAAGAAGAUUACCAGGAAACAAAAAUAUGUCAUGCCAAGAAUGCAAUUACCAGGGUACGUGGGUGGACAGGGCGGACAACAAAAAAAAAACCUUCACUAAUUCAUAGGUGAGUAACUAAGUGCUUCUCAUCAUCUAAAAGCAAGGCUAUAAUGGACUACUUAGACGAUACGGCGGCCAUCUUGCCAGGGGGCAAAGCAAAACAAA